UGCCUACGGGCGGCUGCAGUGGGGAAUCUUGCGCAAUGGGCGAAAGCCUGACGCAGCAACGCCGCGUGCGGGAUGAAGGCCCUCGGGUUGUAAACCGCUUUCAGCAGGGAUGAAGAUGACGGUACCUGCAGAAGAAGCCCCGGCCAACUACGUGCCAGCAGCCGCGGUAACACGUAGGGGGCGAGCGUUGUCCGGGUUUAUUGGGCGUAAAGAGCUCGUAGGCGGUUCCGUCAGUCGGGUGUGAAAACUCUGGGCCCAACCCAGAGACGCCACCCGAUACUGCGGUGACUAGAGUCCGGUAGGGGAGUGCGGAAUUCCUGGUGUAGCGGUGAAAUGCGCAGAUAUCAGGAGGAACACCAACGGCGAAGGCAGCACUCUGGGCCGGUACUGACGCUGAGGAGCGAAAGCGUGGGGAGCGAACAGGAUUAGAUACCCCUGUAGUCG
rnacentral:rRNA from 1 species